UAACGGGAUAGAGUAAAAUGGUAAACUCAUUAGGCUCAUGAUCUAAAGUUGUAGGUUCAAUUCCUACUCCCGUAAU
rnacentral:tRNA from 1 species